CGUGGCGCGUUGUUUUGUAUUCAGUGGCCGGCUGUCAGUAAUCAGUAAUCAGUAAUCAAGUAAUCAAGUAAUCAGUGAUGAGUGAACACUUAUUGGCUCGGCUAUCAACUAUCGGUUAACAGUCGCCCGAAUACGGGCACUGAUUACUGAUCACUGAUUACUUUUCCCUCCCAUGCGCGUCCUGCUCAUCGAAGACGAAACACCACUCCGUGUCGCUGUGCGCGAUGCGUUGCAGGACGAGGGCUGGCGGGUCAUCACCGCAUCGGACGGGCGGGAUGGAUUCGACAAAGCAAUCACGGAAAAGCCUGACCUCAUCGUGCUCGAUGUGAUGCUGCCAAAACUGGACGGCUACGCGCUUUGCCGGGAGCUGCGCCGGCUGGGCCAUCGCGUACCGGUGCUGAUGCUGACCGCACGCGGACUGGUCGAGGAUCGCGUGCACGGGCUGGAUUGCGGAGCGGAUGAUUACCUCGUGAAGCCGUUCAGCCUUGCGGAACUCAAGGCGCGCAUGCGCGCUUUGUGGCGGCGGAGCCAGCACGAAGCGGCGCUGCCGGAGCGCGCGGCCUUCGGCGAGGUGCAGGUGGAUUUGGCGCGGCGCCGUGUGACGCGAGCCGGCAAGGAAGUUCCCCUGACGGCAAAGGAGUACGGCGUCCUUGCAUUAUUGAUUCAGCACGCCGGGCAGGCCGUGAGCCGCGAACAGUUUCUCGAUCUCGUGUGGGGCCAUGCGGCCUUCCCCACGACCCGCACGGUGGACAAUCACAUCGCGCGGCUGCGCACGAAACUCGAGCCCGACCCCGCGGCGCCGCGCUACAUUCUUACGCUGCCGAAGGCCGGCUACCGGCUCGAGAUGCACAAUGGCGGAUCGUGAGUGUGCUCGGCUCAGCACGGCAGGAAACGGCCGUGUGCGCGCAUGGGAUCGCCUCGGAAUUCCGUGCUUUCUGUCCCCGUUGGACCUCUAAGCCUCUAACGCCGCCCCUCCCUCACGUUCCGGUAGUUCCGACGAUUCAGGUGCCGCUUCAGGCACCGGAGCCGGCGUCGGCGCCGGAGCCGGAAUUUCGGAAUCGGGAAUCGGCGCGACGGUUACGAGGGGCGCCAGAGCACCGGCUGCGGCCAGCGCUCCGGGUGCGGCUGCGGCCGGCUGUUUCUUUGCCGCCGGCUUUUUGGCAGCGGGCUUCUUCCUGGGCGCCGGCACCCUGCGUUCCGGCGCCGCUGCGCGCGCGGCGCCCGGACUGGAUUUAGCGGCGCGGGCCGCUUCUUUGCGGCGCUUCAAAAGCUGUUUGCGGCGGCGCCGCUUGAUUUCCUUGUUCAGUUGCUUGCCCAUAGAUGAAAAGUCUUGUGAAUGCCGCCGGCAUGGCGGGGCGGAGGGUAGGACCCGCCUUCCAUGCUUCAAGAGAAAAAUCCCGGACUGCCCUUGUCGGAGGGCGGUGCCGGCCGCAUAUCCAGGAUGUGAUGCGGGUGAACCGCGGAUGCAAUCGUCAACACAGCUCUGCUCCAUGCACAAGGUUUUGCCAUGAACGCGCCUCUCUCCAGCGCUGCGCCCGCGGAGGCAGAACUUCCCCGGCUGGCCCUCAAGGUCAUGGCGAACG
rnacentral:misc_RNA from 1 species